rnacentral:lncRNA from 1 species
CCUUGAUCCUUGCAGUCAAUCGUCAAACAUACACAAGAUCAAGUGAAGCUCCUUCUUGAUGAUCCUACAUCAACGAAGAUCGCCACCAGUUUCUAAACUGGAUUUUCCAAUCCUUUAAUUACAAAGAGUUGUGUUUUUCAAGAAUUAAAGAUGUACAAAGAUUUGACUCAAAUCACUAUUUUGGUACUCACACAAAAGUAUUUUGGGCUAUGAAUGUUUGUGUGUGUGUGUGUGAAAAACUUUUCUGUCAAAAGUGUUUUUCAAGUGAUUGUCAAAGAUUAUGAAAAGUAUGCAAAAGAGAACCUCAACUAUUUUGAUAAAAUCUAUUUGCCAAUCGAUUUGAUCAAAGUUGUUCUGAUGUCCCAAUCAAUCGAUUGCGUCAAACUUGGAUUUUUAAGAAAACUAAAUCAAUUGAUGUCCCAAUCGAUUUGUUGCAUCACAGAACUUUAAACCUGGUUUUAAACUUGGUAUCAAUCGAUUUGGUAAUCGAUUGUUCCCAUAACUGGUUGUUUCUGUGACUUGCUAAAUCGAUUGCUCAAUGGAUUGCCCAGUCGAUUGUCUAGUCGAUUGAUUGUAUCCCAGAACUCAGGUUUCACUUAAAAACAUUUAUCCAAU